UACCUCAAGUCAAGUAAGAAUACCCGCUGAACUUAAGCAUAUCAAUAAGCGGAGGAAAAGAAACUAACUAGGAUUCCCUUAGUAACGGCGAGUGAACUGGGAAGAGCUCAAAUUUUAAAUCACUUUGGUGAAUUGUAAUUUGAAGAAAGUGUUUUGACUUUUCAGUUUAAUCUAAAUCCUUUGGGAUGAGGUAUCAUAGAGGGUGAGAAUCCCGUUUGUGAUUAAACCUCGGAUUGCACUAAUUCACUUUCUAAGAGUCGAGUUGUUUGGGAUUGCAGCUCUAAAUGGGUGGUAAAUUUCACCUAAGGCUAAAUAUAUGCAAGAGACCGAUAGCGAACAAGUACCGUGAGGGAAAGAUGAAAAGAACUUUGAAAAGAGAGUUAAACAGUACGUGAAAUUGUUGAAAGGGAAACGAUUGAAGUCAGUCAUGCUAGUGAGGAAUCAACUUGGUGGUUUACUUCCUUGUGUAUUUUCUUACUUGGCAGGUUAGCAUCAAUUUUGGUUGUCAUCAAAUAAUUGGGGGAAUGUGGCUUUUCUUCGGGAAAGUGUUAUAGACCUUGAUAGAUGUGGCGACUGAGAUUGAGGUUUGCAGCGAAUGCCUUUGGCUAGUCAUCUGUCUUCUGACCGUCACCUCGCUUUUGACAGCUUGCUGAUGAUUGUGGGAUUUGGUGGCCUAGAAGUUAGAAUGUACAUAAAUUCGCAAAGGAUGCUGACGUAAUGGCUUUAAACGACCCGUCUUGAAACACGGACCAAGGAGUCUAACAUAUGUGCGAGUGUUUGGGUGAUAAAACCCGGAACGCGUAAUGAAAGUGAUUUUGGUGGGAACCUCUCGGGGUGCACCAUCGACCGAUCAGGAUAUUCUUUGAUAGAUUUGAGUAAGAGCA
rnacentral:rRNA from 1 species